UGGCCAGGUCUGGCAGCAAGAUAGGAGCAGCUAGUAGUGGCUGAAAAUGUGUAGUGGUGCCUCCUGUCUGAAAACACAUCAUGAGAGAGAGAGGAAGAGAGAAAGAAAGAAAGGGAAAGAAAGAAAGAGAGAUCUUGGGAACAGGAGAGUCAGUGAUUCAGAGAGAGUCAAAGAAACGGAGAGAGAGGGAAAAUGAGUCGUGGGACCAUCUGUCAGUGGUGGUGAUGAAUGGAAAUGGACCUCUCAGCUCCCUCCUCAGCGCUACAGCCUUCCCCGCCACCCCGGCUGACAUCUCUCUGAUGCAACGUGUUUUGUAAAUUCGUGGCAAAUUACUCCGUCAGAUGCUGCCGGCGCCUGUCCGUCACGCCAGAGGGAAGGGUGAUGUCACACAGACAGGUUCGUCUGUGCUGCUUUAGCUAGGAGCACAUUAGAGGAGUACGCUUGUGCAUCCCAGACCACAGUUGUUUAUCAGUGUGGAGAUGAAGAUGGACAAAGCAAAAACUCUGGCAGUCCUCCCGGUUUUGACCGUUACCUGUUUCUGGACUUUGCACCCGCCUGCC